AGCUCGGGAUAUCUAAGAGGCCAAGAAGAGACACUAGUCCAAGUUUUAAUAGGCUCCCCAUGCUUUCUACUAGAUGCUUUUUUCCUACUGCUUUUCAUCCUUUUCCAUAUAUUGUAC